GUUAGAGGAGAUAAUUUAAGGUUAUGUUGCUGUAGGAAAUAGGAAGUUAAAAUGUGGUGAGUAGUCAUAAGUAUUUUUUUCCUUUGGUAUAAGGAAAUUAGGAGGGCGAAGUAAUAUUAAUUACCCCAACCCCCCAGAUUUAAAUGUUUGUUGUAUGGCGGUAGUUGUAUGAGAGGAUGUUUGGUAGUGAGAUUCUUGCGGUGGGGGUAUAAGUGGUUUGUUGUCACUGGGUAAGCUGGUGGUGUUGUGGGAAGAGGUGAAUUUGAGAGAUUAGGCUUUAAAGUGUUGUAGUGUUAGUACUGUUGGGGUGUUUUUUGUAAUUUAGUUAUUGUGGUUGGUUGAGGGUUUUAAUGGGUUGCUUGUUUAAUAUCUGAUUAUUAGUAAGGUUUUGUUUAGUUGUUGUUGUGUGUUGGAGUUGAGUCAGUACUAAGGGGAUUUUCAAAUGUUUAUUAAAAACAUUUUCUGGUUUAUGCCAGGUAGGCCCUGCCUUGCGUGUUCUAGCGGCCGCAGUAUAAUGACUGUGCUAAGGUAGCGUAAUUAGUUGGGUGUUUAGUGCAUUUCUGUAUGAAUGGGUUUAUGGGGGUUUCUUUGUUGGCUUGGCUAGGGGGAAUUUAACUUUCAAGUGAAAAGUCUUGUGGGGUGUGAAAGACGGAAAGACCCUAUGAAGUUUUAUAAGUGUUUAUUUGAUUGGGGUAAUCUAUGAUAGUUUAUGUAUCAUAUUUGUUAAUUACUCUAGGGAUAACAGGACAAUCUUGGUUUUAAUUAAGGUUUGUUACCUCGAUGUUGGAUCAUCUUAUUUUGUUUGUUCGACAAAUUAGAAGGUACGUGAUCUGAGUUUAGAUCGGUGUGAGCCAGAUCGGUUCUUAUCUUGUUGUGUGUUUUUUCAGUACGAGAGGAUGGGGAGACAGGGAUAUUCUUUAU
rnacentral:rRNA from 1 species